UUGUAUAAUGGGUCAGCGACUUAGUGUUGCGUGCAAGCUUAAGCCGUUAGGUGUAGGCGUAGCGAAAGCGAGUCUUAAUAGGGCGUUGAGUUUGUGGGAUCAGACCCGAAACCGAGUGAUCUAGGCAUGUCCAGGAUGAAGGUUAGGUAACACUAACUGGAGGUCCGAACCCACACCUGUUGAAAAAGGUCGGGAUGAGGUGUGCCUAGGGGUGAAAGGCCAAUCAAACUCGGAGAUAGCUGGUUCUCCGCGAAAUCUAUUUAGGUAGAGCGUCGACCGAAUACCACGGGGGGUAGAGC
rnacentral:rRNA from 1 species